rnacentral:rRNA from 1 species
AGUAAAUUGGUUAAGUUAGAAAGGGCGCACGGUGGAUGCCUUGGCACUAGGAGCCGAAGAAGGACGGGACUAACACCGAUAUGCUUUGGGGAGCUGUACGUAAGCGUUGAUCCAGAGAUUUCCGAAUGGGGGAACCCACUAUCUUUAGUCGGAUAGUAUCCUUACGUGAAUACAUAGCGUGAGGAAGGCAGACCCAGGGAACUGAAACAUCUAAGUACCUGGAGGAAGAGAAAGAAAAAUCGAUUUCCUGAGUAGCGGCGAGCGAAACGGAAAGAGCCCAAACCAAGAAGCUUGCUUCUUGGGGUUGUAGGACACUCUAUACGGAGUUACAAAAGAAAGUUAUAAAUGAAGCGGUCUGGAAAGGCCCGCCAAAGACGGUAACAGCCCGGUAGUUGAAAUGGCUUUCCCUCCAGAGUGGAUCCUGAGUACGGCGGAACACGUGAAAUUCCGUCGGAAUCCGGGAGGACCA